ensembl:lncRNA
CAUGGGGUGUUAGGCUAUUUUAUUUCACAAGGCAUGUCUGUCGGGGUGGUAUGACGUCAGUGGCUUGGAGGGUCACUGGGAGCUGAGGUAGGUCUGUGCGUCUGUGGACCCAUUACGGCUCCCCCUGUUCUGUCCUGAGACUACGUAGUGUAAGUGAGUCACAUCUGCCAUACCCUUUAUGGGGCCGGUGCCACGGUGGAGCUGAGACCAGAGAGCCAGGUGAUGAUAGCCGCCUGCUGCCCCCUGACACUCCACAAUAUUAACGGUAGCUGCGGCCACUGCCAGCUCUCUGUUUCCACCACUCGGCCUGAUGGCAUGUAAAGGUUCUGGAGUUAGCGAGCUCCUCCUGGAACCGCCGCAGGCUUGGCUCAAGGCCCUGCCGGGAUCAUAGCGUCACACAGCCCGGGGUUCUCAACAGAAGUAAUCUUUUCAGCUUCGCAGAGCGAUAAACCAUGACUGGGCAAAGAGAGAGAGGACUCAGAACUACUUGCAGAUGUCAACAAAACUGCACUUCCCAUGUCUACACCACUGUUGUUUUUCCCUAUGGGGUUGCUUCCUCUUAUUUCUUUGAAAGGUCCAAUGCAGUUUUUACCUCAAUAUCAAAUCAUUUCUGGGUAUAAAUUAAGUACCUUACUGUGAUUGUUUUCAAUUACAAUGGUCAAAAAGAAACAAAAAUAGCUUCUUAGCAAAGAGCAAUUUCUCAAGCAAGAAUUUUGCUAGGACUGUCUGGGAGUGGUCAGAUGGGGAGGGGAAAACUGACAAUUAGCUGUUAUCUUUUCAAAGAGCUCUUACACUAUCAUCAUUUUCACAAUUAUUCCAACAUGAUAUUGUGGAAAUAUAUAUAAAACACUGGAAAUUCUAGUUUUUGACUGCACUGGGCCUUCAACAGCUACAACAUUAAAUGUAUCAUGAAUCAAUGUGUUUUUCUCAUGUAAUCAGAGUAAACUCAGUCUGAAAAUAUGAUUUACAUUAUAUUAGGUUGUUCCAUUACUACCAUGUUCCAAAUAUUACCAUUCUUCACCGAAAUCAAUAUCCCACUGAUGUGAAGCUUACAUAAAUAUUGUUUUAUACUGUGAUCCAUUUGUGUCGGACAGCACUAUCCAUGUGUUCAAACUAUACUUUGACUGCCACAAAACCUCUCGUCUGUAUGGUUUUGUCAUUACAUGCCCCAUUGACUGAGCUUUCUGACCACAGCCCUCUAGUAGCGGUUGCGUGGGUAAAAUCAAUGGGGAAGCCGAGCCAGUUAAAAAGCCAUAUUACAACCGGUGUUGUGAUAAUUGCAUUGUUUUCUCUAUAACCCGUUUGUUCAUUUGCCACCAUGAUAUAUACAGUGGCUUCAGAGAGUAUACAUACCCCUUGACUUGAUUCCACAUUUUGUUGUGUUACUGCCUGAAUUCAAAAUGGAUUAAAUAGAUUUUUUUUCUCACCCGUCUACACACAAUUCCCAAUAAAGACAAUGUGACAAAAUUAA